UGGAAAUGAUGAAAUAGAGACUGGGUGUCGAAUAUUGUAUGAUUGGAAAUUUUUAAUAUGUAAAUUAAGAGAUUAAUCUAAGUUUUAAAAAGAGCAUCAUAAAAUUACACUCCAA
rnacentral:scRNA from 1 species